UUUUUUUUUUUUUUUUAAUGUUAUUACCUAGCAAAAAUUAAAAUGAAACAAAGGAAAAAAUAAAAUUAAAAAAAAUCAACAGUGACCCUACCGCUCUCCCCAUAGGAUUGUCCCCACUGUGUGGCCUGAGAGGUGAAAGGCAGAGAAGUCAAGGUCGCACACAGGGCAUGGGUGAGGCAGACAUGCAGGAAGCUCAGCUCCUGGGGCUCCUGCUUGGAGCCACUCAACCUGCAAGGGCACGUGGCUGGUCUCACCAAUAGCCUUCACCCCCAUGUGCCAAAGUGCAGCCGGAAGGAAGACCGGUGAACUUCACAAGGUUCCUUGAACCUUAUAGGUCAAUCCCUUGACGACUGCUCUUAUCUAUCCAAACAGGCCAAGUCUGGCCCUGUAAAUAGUGGGCAAUUUAUGUGCCCCGAACACAAAACACAUUCUUAUUCAUGUUAAGCUAUGUCAGUGGAGGAAGGGCGUGGACCUGAAUGGCCUUGAGGAGGAGCAGCAGCCAUGGCUUUUCCCAGAGGAGGGUCAGGAAUAGCUGUAUCAGUGAAACGUCUGCUCAAAGGAAGAGGAGGUUGGGCUAAAGGGAUGGAUCCAAGAAAGGAAAGACUGCUGCGACUGCAGGCUGCUGAGAAAUUACUGGAAUGGAAAUGGGAAGACCACUGCGCCAAAGAGAAAACCCAGGACACCAGGAAAUGACCCUCCCAUCUUGCUCUGCAGAGCCCGGGGCCAAAGGGAAAUGGCCAUCUCUGUCUCCCCACCCCUUUCUCAGUAUCCUCCUGAGGGUAGCCUUCCCUGGCACAGAAACUGAGGGCUCCUGGGUCAAGUCCCACUAAGGAGGAUGGAACUGACGAGAAGGCCUGGCAUGGCCAGAUGUGACUAGGGCGGGUCUACUGUACUGGAGAGAAGAGUGUGAAACCCGGGGAGUCUUGCUCCAAUGGAGGGUGGGGGUGGGGGCACUGGGCACAGUGCUCUUGGCCCCCCAUCACCCUUAUUACUGAUGGUGACGCUCCACGGUCCCCUCUCCCACCCGGCUUUUCCCAGUGAUUCUCGAGGUGGGGAAGGAGGGUGACAUGCUCCCCUGGGUAGGUCCAAAUCUCCAAUCACCUUGGAAGUAGUGAGCAGAGACAGACCACACUUCCAGUGUGUCUUUCUCCCUUAGCAACUGGCUUCUUUUCUAAACAAAAAACAAACAAAAAAAACCCUUUCUAUUGGAUAUAGUAAUGCACAUUUGGUGCACAUUUUUAGCAAACAGUUGUGAAUUAAUGGUUAAAAAAAAAAAAAAAAGCAGUUCGUUUACCACCCCCAGUUGCAUUUGCAGGAGGGGCCCCUGAGCUACAGGUGUGGGCUGUGCUGGCCCUUCUGCCCUGUGUGCCCAGCCUCCGGCCUCCAGGGGCGGCGACACUCCCUUCCUGUCAUAGAUCCAGGCCCCAGCAUUACUGUACUUUUCUUUCUUUCUUCCAGUCAAACCAAUACUUUCUUCCAGAAAAUCUGACAGUCUGCAGUGCCAAAAGAAUAAAAAUCUGUAUCUCAUAGUUGUGAGAGUUAAAAAGUCCCAGGUACCCUAUAACCUGACCUCUUGAGAAUCACUGUUCACCUGCUCAGGGACCUACAGGUUUGGGGUUUUGUUUUUAUUUAAGCUGUAACACACUUUCCAAGCUAUCUUCAUGGCCAAAGGUUUUGCAACAGAGUGGGUUUAUUUAUUUUUAUUUUUAAUUUUUUUUACGGCCACACUUGUGGCACAUGGAAAUUCCCAGGCCAAGAGUGCCCUACGCCACAGCCAUGGCCACACUGAAUCCAAGCCUCAUCUGCGACCUUGGCCACAGCUUACAGCAAUGCUGGAUCCUCAACCCACUGAAUGGGGCCAGGGAUUGAACCUGCAUCCUCAUGGACACUCUGUUGGGUUCUUAACCGGCUGACCCACAACAGGAACACCUCAGAGUAGGUUUUAAAGGUCGUUUCCCUUCACCAUCCCCUGAAUCCUUCCGCAAACAACCAUAAGAGGCAUUUGGUGAGAGAGGAGACGAUGCUGAAGGUGAAAAAAUUUCCAUAUCUGGUGACCUUGGUGUUGAGAAGAAUUGAUGGCUGGGAAAGCUUUGCUUCAAUAAUUCCCACCACGUCCUCUGUGUUUUGUAUAAGGAGAACACACCACUAGUGCAGGGUGUCCUUGUACCCAAGCAGAGGACAGCACAUGCAACAGUUUCACAAACCAUUGUUAGUUAUCUGGUAUUUACGCCAGGCCUCGAGGUUUAUUUAAAUAAAAAGUAGCAAGGGAGAUUGUGACCUCCAGCCGCUCAGCUGCCUGACACUCCUAUUCAAAGUCACCUGUAGCAAUUCUAUGUCUUAGGAGGAAAAAGAAAAUUCCAUAAAUCAACUCAGUGAUUAGGGAUGACACCUCUGCUGAAAAUGACACUAAAAAUCUUAGCAUGAAUCCUUGGAAAACCAGAAGCCAGAUUAUGUAGGUGAAGGAGGCAACACAGAUCAUUUUAAGCAGACGUUCUGUGCCUGCAAAGGUUGUUUUUUUUUUUUAAUUAAAAAACACGUAGGAGUUCCUGUUGUAGCUCAGUGGGUUAAAGACCCUACAUCGUCUUGGUGAGGAUGCAGGUUCAAUCCCUGGCCUCGCUCAGUGGGCUAAGGAUCUGCUGUGUGGUGCACAGACGUAGCUCAGAUGUGGUGUUGCUGUGGCUGUGGCGUAGGCCUCAACUGCAGCUCAGAUUCUGCCCCCUGGCCCAGGAACUUCCAUAUGCUGCAGGUGCAGCCAUAAGAAGAAGAAGAAAAAACAUAUAACAGACGGUCUCAAACAUCCUUUUGAAUUAGUGAAAGCAUGAUACAUAACUUCCUCCUGGAUUUUUAAUAAAUCAUCUUUGUGUAUUUUAAGGUGUUGAUGUCCAUUAAAACUUUUUUAUUAUGGAAAAUAAACAUAUACAAAAGGUUGAGUACUUCAAUGUGGCCCCUGUACCAUCAUCCAGCUUCAACAAUUUUUUUUGAAGUAACAACUCACACCCAAUCUUGUUUUUUUUUUUCUUUUUUUUUAAUUUGUUGCCUUGCCUUUUCUAGGGCCGCUCCCGCGGCACAUGGAGGUUCCCAGGCUAGGGGUCGAAUCGGAGAUGUAGCCACCGGCCCACACCACAGCCCACAGCAACGCCGGAUGCCCAACCCACUGAGCGAGGUCAGGGAUCAAACCUGCAACCCCAUGGUCCCUAGCUGGAUUUGUUAACCACUGUGCCGCGACGGGAACUCCCAAUCUUGUUUUAUCUUUACCCUGAUCUGCUUUUCGCCUUUAAAUCCUUGCUUAGUAAAAAACAUAUAUCUGACAUUGUAUGCUAUCAAAGAAAAUAGCUCUUCAAAAUGUAACAACAAUACUACCAAAUAAAAUUAUACUUUGUUGAUAUCAACUAAUAUCCUGUCACUGUUCAAAUUGCCCGGGUCAGUAGAGUUUUAAGUAAAUGUUUGGGCCAGGCAGAGAGAGACCAAGCCAUUUGAAUCUUAGCAUCCCCAAGGUGCAACAAGGCCCAAAGACUACCUUUCUUUGCUUUAGAGAGGAGCUCAGAGCCAGGCGAUCUAUAAUUCUUGCCCAAGUAUCACCAUUAAACCUUCCAGGGAAACGUGUAC
ensembl:lncRNA